rnacentral:rRNA from 1 species
UACGUAGGUGGCAAGCGUUGUCCGGAUUUACUGGGUGUAAAGGGCGUGUAGCCGGGCUGACAAGUCAGAUGUGAAAUCCGGGGGCUCAACCCCCGAACUGCAUUUGAAACUGUUGGUCUUGAGUAUCGGAGAGGCAGGCGGAAUUCCUAGUGUAGCGGUGAAAUGCGUAGAUAUUAGGAGGAACACAAGUGGCGAAGGCGGCCUGCUGGACGACAACUGACGGUGAGGCGCGAAAGCGUGGGGAGCAAACAGG